rnacentral:sRNA from 1 species
GGAGGUUGCGGGAGCACAGCCUGCCCUAUGGUUUAUGACUAAUUUGCAGCCAUUUGAGUUCAAAUACUGCUGAGAAGAUCCAAACUGCAAAGAAACACCCUGGAGCACCCUGUUUAUUCCUCUAGCAUCUGAGCACAGCGGGGAGUCUCCUUUCUUCUGCUGGAGGUUGGUGUGUGGUAUGAUCUCCCUCCUCUGUUUCAUCAUAAACUGUGAAUCGUGGAACAAGCUCGAGCAGGAGACAGUCAUUCAGAAUAGCUGGGUGAUACCUAAGACAUGACACUCCAACAGGUCAUUGAAAAGCAGUUAGCCAUGUCUCAGUUACCACAUUAGAUAGUAGAUUCAACGGUGAGCAAAAGCAUCCUCCUGGAUGGUAUGUGAUGAUGACACCAUAGCUUUGAAGAGCACUUACCUGAUAGUGUGCUAUGGCAUCAUAGCUUUAAACUUUUGUCUCCACAGAUGAUGUCUAUAUUGGCCAUUACAGAGAGAGGCAUAGACAGGGAAGAAUGCAUUCCUAGCCUCAACACUGGCACCUGCCCUGUCAGCAUUAGUCUGUUAAAGAAGCCCCAUUCUUCACCAAAGCCAAGGCUCUAAAACUGAACUCAGAGUUUCAGCACAGCAGGAUGUGCAGGGUACAUCCUACAUGCUGGAUACAUCCUACCUGCUGUGGUAUACGCUGACAUCCACGUGGGGUAUAACUGGCAAGGGAUUCUUAUCCCCUGGCUUGUAAACUACAUCUGACCCUGAAGAGCUGUCCUUUGUCAGGUAUCUUAGCAUUAGUA